rnacentral:rRNA from 1 species
GCUAGGAUGAACGCUGGCGGCGUGCCUAACACAUGCAAGUCGAGCGAUUCUCUUCGGAGAAGAGCGGCGGACGGGUGAGUAACGCGUGGGUAACCUGCCUCAUACACAUGGAUAACAUACCGAAAGGUAUGCUAAUACAGGAUAAUAUAAGAGAUUCACAUGGAUUUCUUAUCAAAGCUCCGGCGGUAUGAGAUGGACCCGCGUCUGAUUAGCUAGUUGGUAAGGUAACGGCUUACCAAGGCGACGAUCAGUAGCCGACCUGAGAGGGUGAUCGGCCACAUUGGAACUGAGACACGGUCCAAACUCCUACGGGAGGCAGCAGUGGGGAAUAUUGCACAAUGGGCGAAAGCCUGAUGCAGCAACGCCGCGUGAGUGAUGAAGGCCUUCGGGUACGUAAAACUCUGUCCUCAAGGAAGAUAAUGACGGUACUUGAGGAGGAACGCCCGGCUAACUACGUGCCAGCCGCCGC